CAGCAGCCGCGGGAACACAGAGGGUGCGAGCGUUAAUCGGAUUUACUGGGCGUAAAGCGUGCGUAGGCGGCUUCUUAAGUCGGAUGUGAAAUCCCUGAGCUUAACUUAGGAAUUGCAUUCGAUACUGGGAAGCUAGAGUAUGGGAGAGGAUGGUAGAAUUCCAGGUGUAGCGGUGAAAUGCGUAGAGAUCUGGAGGAAUACCGAUGGCGAAGGCAGCCAUCUGGCCUAAUACUGACGCUGAGGUACGAAAGCAUGGGGAGCAAACAGGAUUAGAGACCCCGGUAGUCCCUGUCUCUUAUAC
rnacentral:rRNA from 1 species